AUCAAUCUGGCCGCUACCCUCAUCUGCGUUAGUGUUUCGCUGCCCCCUCCGAAUCACUAUUGGCGCGCUGGGCGGAUUGAUGGUGGCUGCCAUGUUCCAAUAGGUGGGCGUGUCGUCGUUCGUGUUGAGCGCGUGGCCGGGGUGAUUUAUCUUGGCGUGCCGUGGCGAUUCGUGAAGACCCCGGGCGGGAUCGACGACAGUACCACCCGGAAUUCGUCGCCGUGAACCUGCGCCGCCGUAAAACCGCAAUCGGGCACUACAUCAAUCAGGCACCGAUUCAUGGUCAAGAACAGGUACCGCAGGAUGAGGCGCAUGGAGGAUGCUGUGGCGAGUUCGUGAGAGGUCUAGGUCGUCGUCUCCCAGUCAACUUUGGGUUGCUGGACCGUUGUCUCCAUAUAAUGUAAUUAUUUAUUUACUUUGUACAGAACUCCGAUUAUAUAGUAAAGAUGUGACAUUCGAUCCUGUGCCAUGAUU